rnacentral:rRNA from 1 species
UACGAAGGGGGCUAGCGUUGUUCGGAUUUACUGGGCGUAAAGCGCACGUAGGCGGAUAUUUAAGUCAGGGGUGAAAUCCCGGGGCUCAACCCCGGAACUGCCUUUGAUACUGGGUAUCUUUGAGUCCGGAAGAGGUGAGUGGAAUUCCGAGUGUAGAGGUGAAAUUCGUAGAUAUUCGGAGGAACACCAGUGGCGAAAGGCGGCUA